rnacentral:rRNA from 1 species
GACGAACGCUGGCGGCGUGCUUAACAUAUGCAAGUCGAACGGAAAGGCCCUGCUUUUGUGGGGUGCUCGAGUGGCGAACGGGUGAGUAACACGUGAGUAACCUGCCCUUGACUUUGGGAUAACUUCAGGAAACUGGAGCUAAUACCGGAUAGGAGCUCCUGCUGCAUGGUGGGGGUUGGAAAGUUUCGGCGGUUGGGGAUGGACUCGCGGCUUAUCAGCUUGUUGGUGGGGUAGUGGCUUACCAAGGCUUUGACGGGUAGCCGGCCUGAGAGGGUGACCGGCCACAUUGGGACUGAGAUACGGCCCAGACUCCUACGGGAGGCAGCAGUGGGGAAUAUUGCACAAUGGGCGGAAGCCUGAUGCAGCAACGCCGCGUGCGGGAUGACGGCCUUCGGGUUGUAAACCGCUUUCGCCUGUGACGAAGCGUGAGUGACGGUAAUGGGUAAAGAAGCACCGGCUAACUACGUG